rnacentral:lncRNA from 1 species
CUCAUUCUGAUUUGGUGAUUGGUCACAUGAUGUGUUGUAGUUUAUUUCUUCGUACUUUAAAUUCAUGUUGUUGAGAUUUUGUUUUGGUAUUUUUGGUCAAUAAGUACAUAUAUGGUGAGAUUUUUUGUAUGUCACUGUAAGUGAAUGUUUUAAUUUUGUGUUUGUGUUAUUGGCUACUUCUGAAUCUGUUCUUUUGUUUUCGGUAGUUUUGUUGAUGGCGUUGAGCACAUAAUUCAUGUUGGUAACACUAAUUGUUUCUUCUGCAGUUUCUUUUAGUAGCCGGCGCUGUUUGUCUUCAAAUAGUGUUAUCCAGUGAGCUAUGUUCUGGGUUUUGUAUGCAUAAUCUCUCAAGUGUCAGUUUGCCAAGUAAUUGAAUUUCUAGUCAGGAAUAGAGUUAUGUUGACUUUAGAGUGCCGACUAAGUCAAGUGAG